rnacentral:sRNA from 1 species
GCAUAGCCCCGAUUGCAGUGGAAAUCCUUUUUUGAAAAAAAAGAUUGCAACGAAAAGCGGGAAAAAGC